UCCGUAGGUGGAUAAUUAAGUCAGGGGUGAAAGUCUGCAGCUCAACUGUAGAAUUGCCUUUGAUACUGGUUAUCUUGAAUUAUUAUGAAGUAGUUAGAAUAUAUAGUGUAGCGGUGAAAUGCAUAGAUAUUACAUAGAAUACCAAUUGCGAAGGCAGAUUACUAAUAAUAUAUUGACACUGAUGGACGAAAGCGUGGGGAGCGAACAGGAUUAGAUACCCUGGUAGUCC
rnacentral:rRNA from 1 species